rnacentral:rRNA from 1 species
AACGAACGCUGGCGGCAGGCCUAACACAUGCCAGUCGAGCGAUGACUUCGGUCCUAGCGGCGGACGGGUGAGUAACGCGUGGGAACGUGCCCUUUGCUUCGGAAUAGCCCUGGGAAACUGGGAGUAAUACCGGAUGAGCCCUUUGGGGGAAUGAUUUAUCGGCGAAGGAUCGGCCCGCGUUGGAUUAGGUAGUUGGUGUGGUAAUGGCCUACCAAGCCGACGAUCCAUAGCUGGUUUGAGAGGAUGAUCAGCCACACUGGGACUGAGACACGGCCCAGACUCCGACGGGAGGCAGCAGUGGGGAAUAUUAGAGAAGGGGGGAAAACGCGAUCAAGCCAUGCCGGGGGAGAGAGGAAGGCCUUAGGGUUGUAAAGCUAUUUCAGCUGGGAAGAUAAUGACGGUACCAGCAGAAGAAGCCCCGGCUAACUCCGUG